CAAGAAGUAGUUUAAUUUAAAAUAUUAAUUUUGGAGAUUAAUGAUAAAUGUAUAUUUUUUCUUGA
rnacentral:tRNA from 1 species